UACGUAGGGUGCGAGCGUUAAUCGGAAUUACUGGGCGUAAAGCGUGCGCAGGCGGUUCGUUGUGUCGGCGGUGAAAGCCCCGGGCUCAACCUGGGAAUGGCCGUUGAAACUGGCGAACUGGAGUGUGGCAGAGGGGGGGUAGAAUUCCACGUGUAGCAGUGAAAUGCGUAGAGAUGUGGAGGACACCGAUGGCGAAGGCAGCCCCCUGGGUCAAGAUUGACGCUCAUGCACGAAAGCGUGGGGAGCAAACAGG
rnacentral:rRNA from 1 species